rnacentral:lncRNA from 1 species
AAGAACAAAGGAAGAACAAAGGGAAAAACAAGAAAACCUAGGUGGAAAUUUAAAGAAAAAGUGAAGAAAUCAAGGAAACAAGCUAAGUAAGUUAGAAUUUCUUUAAUUCUCCUAGAUACCUAGCUUACCCAUGCUUUUGUUCUUGAUUUCCAUGGUUGAAUAUUGAGUUAUCAUGAUGAAUUCAAUUCUGAAAAAUGGGUAUGGAAGAGGAAUUGUUGUUGGAAUAAUUCGAUUUUAGACUAUGUUAGUGUUUUUAGUUAGUUUAGCAUAUUUAGGAACAAAACAACAAGAAAAGAAUUUAUUUUCCUCCAUUACCAUUAUUGGCUGAAUUUUCUAGGGGAAUAUUGGCUCUGAUCUUGAUGUUUAUUUGAGCAAUUAUGAUGAAUAAUGAUGAAUUAUGAGCCUAGAAAAAUAAUGAGAAUUUUCGGAGCAAAAAUAUUAAUGUUUACCCACUAAGGGUAUUUUCGUAAUUUGCUAUCAAGACUGAUAAAUUGAAUCUCAUUCACAGUCACUAAGGUAAUUUAAGUAUAAUUGGAGUGUAGAAAGUGAGAAGAAUUGAUUUGGAGUUAAAUUGGAGAUAAUAGGCCGAAUUAGGUCAGCACCGCAUUUAAGCGGUAGUCGGAUAAGUUGUAUAUCAUAUCAUGUAUAUAUACCGAGCCUGAAUUGAUUUUAUAAUGGUCAAGCAUUGAUGUGGUGAAUUAUGUAUUAUACAUUGUGGAUAGGUGGUGAGCAAAGUACACUAGUAAAAGUACAGAGAUUGUGCUUGGAGAUUGGGAUUAGGAGUACAUCGACUCCUAGAACUGUGAGUGAACUUAUUAUCGUCUUAAUUAUCUAGAGUAGUUUUAUACAAUUGUGUGAUUUUAUGGAAAAUGAGUUUCAAUGGUAAAUUGCUAUGUUUUAGGAGAAAUUACGAUUUUAUAAAAUGAUUUUAUAAAUUUUUUGGAAAAAUCGAAUACUGGUUUUGAAAAUAGAGUAAUUAGAGACUGCCUGCUUGUGUUGUAAAUUUAUAGUUUUAAAUUGAAUGGCUUAUGACAAUAUAUGAGCAUGAAUGGCUAAACUGAUUUUGGUGUUAGAAUUAUUUGUACUGAGAAUUUAGCCUUGAGAGGCUAGGUUGCGAUAAAUUACCAUGUCAUGCUAGAAUGAAUUUAUUGAUUGGUGGAGUAUAUAUUAAUUAUUCACUGUAGAGGGGUUCCGUGGACUAGCCUAUUAGAGGGCCACGAUAAACUCCAUUAUAUUCUUACCUCGAAUGGAGAGUCGUGUAGGCUAUCUCUUGGAGUAAAGCUUAGGCUUCACUUCAUGCCAAACCACCACGUGAAGGGGAACUCAGCCAACGCCAAGGAACGGCUGUAUUUUUCUCAAACUAAAAAUAUAUUUUAAGUGUAUACAAAAAUUUUAACAGCCUUGGCAGACUCGGUUGGAUGCCCUGUGCAAGGUAUCACCGAGUAUGAGUUUUGGCAAGAGCCAAAGUUUUAAAAAAUUCAUAAGCCAAGUUGAUUACUCGAUUUAUAUGGAUUGAUUUUAUUUGGUUGAAAUGAGUUGAAAGGUAAUGAAAUUACAGUAUGAUGACUUAUUUCAAUUGUCUCCACUUACUCGACUUUAGAUAGUUUAGAUGGUAUCUGUUUACUCACUAGGAUUUUAUAAUCUCACCACCCUCAUUUCCUCACAUUUCAGGCUCGGAGAAUUUCAUAGUUAGCUGACUUUGACAAGGACCUUCAUUUGGACUCGAAUCGG